CAUACAACAGGAAGUAAAGUGCCUCAGAGUUCAAUAUCCCUGCCCUGAACCACAGUAGUGGGAACUGGGGAGGAGUCAGAGCCAAUGGAGGAAUGGAAUCCUUUCUGGUACACAGGGAUCGGGAAACGCUGGCUCCUUUAUUCCAAGGACAUCGUUCUACAACAGGACAACUUAUGUCCCACAGCUGCUUCAUUAACUCCAGGGACGUACUCCAAUGUCUUCCUCUUUGCCAAACUUUCUGUUUUAGGGCUGAGCUCCGAGGGAGGGAAGAGCCUGUAACAGAAAGUAAUUAGCACCACCACCAGAAUGAAGAUAAUGAUAGCAGAGCCUUCUGAUAAAAGACCCUGUGGCCCAAUCAAAAACUGGAGCUGUCUCAACCAGCUCCCCGGCUGACAGCUCCCCACUCGAGUGUUUUUCUUUUCUCUCUUUCUGAGCAAUAAAAGUAGCUCUUUUUUCACUUUG